GACGAACGCUGGCGGCGUGCCUAAUACAUGCAAGUAGAACGCACAGUUUAUACCGUAGCUUGCUACACCAUAAACUGUGAGUUGCGAACGGGUGAGUAACGCGUAGGUAACCUGCCUGGUAGCGGGGGAUAACUAUUGGAAACGAUAGCUAAUACCGCAUAAUAUUGAUUAUUGCAUGAUAAUUGAUUGAAAGAUGCUAUUGCAUCACUACCAGAUGGACCUGCGUCGUAUUAGCUAGUAGGUGAGGUAACGGCUCACCUAGGCGACGAUACAUAGCCGACCUGAGAGGGUGAUCGGCCACACUGGGACUGAGACACGGCCCAGACUCCUACGGGAGGCAGCAGUAGGGAAUCUUCGGCAAUGGACGAAAGUCUGACCGAGCAACGCCGCGUGAGUGAAGAAGGUUUUCGGAUCGUAAAGCUCUGUUGUAAGAGAAGAACGGGUGUGAGAGUGGAAAGUUCACACUGUGACGGUAUCUUACCAGAAAGGGACGGCUAACUACGUG
rnacentral:rRNA from 1 species